GUUCUCUCCGCCCAGGAGUGCGGGCACUGCAGCUCCGCGCCGAGGGACCAGGCAUAUUCUGUUUUCCGUUGGCGUCCAUGAAAGAGUAACAGGCUCCAGUCCCUUCACGUGUCCUGAAACUACUCACCUAUCUAAGAAUCUCAGCAUUAUUGGCAUAACUCCACCUCCCUGUGCCUUUCCUCUCACGGAAGGAAGCUGAAAGAAGGGAUGAGUCAUGAGAAGCACAUACAGAGCUGGCCUGUCAGUGGAGCCAUUACUGCUGAGAAUGACCAGAACGUGGGGCUCAAGAACAUCACCCUGUGAUAGAAGGUGGAGCCAAAAAGCUACUGCCCUCACAGCUGCCGUAAACCGCCUCUUGUCUUCCAGGAGGCUGGGAGCGAGGACGGAGACGUCUCCUCCGAGGCAACAGAAACUCCUCCAGCAUCUUCUCUGUCAAACAGCUCUGCUCCUGAGGAAGCACCAGCC
ensembl:lncRNA